AAAUUGAAGAGUUUGAUCAUGGCUCAGAUUGAACGCUGGCGGCAGGCCUAACACAUGCAAGUCGAACGGUAACAGGAAACAGCUUGCUGUUUCGCUGACGAGUGGCGGACGGGUGAGUAAUGUCUGGGAAACUGCCUGAUGGAGGGGGAUAACUACUGGAAACGGUAGCUAAUACCGCAUAACGUCGCAAGACCAAAGAGGGGGACCUUCGGGCCUCUUGCCAUCGGAUGUGCCCAGAUGGGAUUAGCUUGUUGGUGGGGUAACGGCUCACCAAGGCGACGAUCCCUAGCUGGUCUGAGAGGAUGACCAGCCACACUGGAACUGAGACACGGUCCAGACUCCUACGGGAGGCAGCAGUGGGGAAUAUUGCACAAUGGGCGCAAGCCUGAUGCAGCCAUGCCGCGUGUAUGAAGAAGGCCUUCGGGUUGUAAAGUACUUUCAGCGGGGAGGAAGGGAGUAAAGUUAAUACCUUUGCUCAUUGACGUUACCCGCAGAAGAAGCACCGGCUAACUCCGUGCCAGCAGCCGCGGUAAUACGGAGGGUGCAAGCGUUAAUCGGAAUUACUGGGCGUAAAGCGCACGCAGGCGGUUUGUUAAGUCAGAUGUGAAAUCCCCGGGCUCAACCUGGGAACUGCAUCUGAUACUGGCAAGCUUGAGUCUCGUAGAGGGGGGUAGAAUUCCAGGUGUAGCGGUGAAAUGCGUAGAGAUCUGGAGGAAUACCGGUGGCGAAGGCGGCCCCCUGGACGAAGACUGACGCUCAGGUGCGAAAGCGUGGGGAGCAAACAGGAUUAGAUACCCUGGUAGUCCACGCCGUAAACGAUGUCGACUUGGAGGUUGUGCCCUUGAGGCGUGGCUUCCGGAGCUAACGCGUUAAGUCGACCGCCUGGGGAGUACGGCCGCAAGGUUAAAACUCAAAUGAAUUGACGGGGGCCCGCACAAGCGGUGGAGCAUGUGGUUUAAUUCGAUGCAACGCGAAGAACCUUACCUGGUCUUGACAUCCACGGAAGUUUUCAGAGAUGAGAAUGUGCCUUCGGGAACCGUGAGACAGGUGCUGCAUGGCUGUCGUCAGCUCGUGUUGUGAAAUGUUGGGUUAAGUCCCGCAACGAGCGCAACCCUUAUCCUUUGUUGCCAGCGGUCCGGCCGGGAACUCAAAGGAGACUGCCAGUGAUAAACUGGAGGAAGGUGGGGAUGACGUCAAGUCAUCAUGGCCCUUACGACCAGGGCUACACACGUGCUACAAUGGCGCAUACAAAGAGAAGCGACCUCGCGAGAGCAAGCGGACCUCAUAAAGUGCGUCGUAGUCCGGAUUGGAGUCUGCAACUCGACUCCAUGAAGUCGGAAUCGCUAGUAAUCGUGGAUCAGAAUGCCACGGUGAAUACGUUCCCGGGCCUUGUACACACCGCCCGUCACACCAUGGGAGUGGGUUGCAAAAGAAGUAGGUAGCUUAACCUUCGGGAGGGCGCUUACCACUUUGUGAUUCAUGACUGGGGUGAAGUCGUAACAAGGUAACCGUAGGGGAACCUGCGGUUGGAUCACCUCCUUACCUUAAAGAA
rnacentral:rRNA from 2 species